CACAAUGGGCGAAAGCCUGAUGCAGCAACGCCGCGUGAGUGAAGAAGGCCUUCGGGUUGUAAAGCUCUGUCUUUUGGGACGAUAAUGACGGUACCAAAGGAGGAAGCCACGGCUAACUACGUGCCAGCAGCCGCGGUAAUACGUAGGUGGCAAGCGUUGUCCGGAUUUACUGGGCGUAAAGGAUGCGUAGGUGGAUAUUUAAGUGGGAUGUGAAAUACCCGGGCUCAACUUGGGUGCUGCAUUCCAAACUGGAUAUCUAGAGUGCAGGAGAGGAAAGUGGAAUUCCUAGUGUAGCAGUGAAAUGCGUAGAUAUUAGGAAGAACACCAGUGGCGAAGGCGACUCUCUGGACUGUAACUGACACUGAGGCUCGAAAGCGUGGGGAGCAAACAGGAUUAGAUACCCUGGUAGUCCACGCCGUAAACGAUGGGUACUAGGUGUAGGGGUUUCGAUACCUCUGUGCCGCCGUUAACACAAUAAGUACCCCGCCUGGGGAGUACGGUCGCAAGAUUA
rnacentral:rRNA from 1 species